rnacentral:lncRNA from 1 species
CUUCGUUGUUGCUCAAACAUGAAAUCGUUGAUGUGAGCCGGUUCCGCAUAUCCAGAGAGCAUAUUUCUAGGUGCAGCCAUUUGCUGAGUCCUAAAUGGGUUUUCUGGUCCAAACUCAGGUGCAAACAUGGUCUCGUAAGUAGGAUUGUACUGAACCUCCUUAAUAGCAGGAUCAAGAUGGACUCCUGUUUCCACAUCCUCCUUCACCGCCACUUCCGGGGCCGCGUCAACGGGCAGGGCCGGGGGCGCUGCGGGCGGCGGCCGGAGGUGCAGCACAGCGUCACGGCUGGCGAGCACGACGGCGCGCUGCGGACCGGCAUCGGCUUCGGGCUCCGAAUCGGACUCCGAGUCGGAGCCGCCGUAGGAAGCGAGCGCGGCGAUGGCCGCCGACAUCUUGGCGCGGGGGUGGCG